UAGUCCAAUUGCCGUUGGAUGGGCUGUGGGUCAAGAUGAUUCGAAUGGGAGUAGAUUUACAGUUCGAUUUGGGGCUAAAGUUUUAAGUAUUCGUCAGCGUGCAUAUUCGCAAGUCAAAAGAGAACUUUGGGGAGUCGUUUCGACUAUGAAAGCUGAAAAGGACUAUUUGAUUGGGGCAGUAGUAGUAAUUGAAACAGAUUGCUUGCCAUUGCUUGGAAUGAUUAUUAACUGUUCAACGCCAGAUAUUGCAAUGUUGAGAUGGAUUGCUUA
rnacentral:lncRNA from 1 species